AAUUUUGGACAAUGGGGGAAACCCUGAUCCAGCCAUCCCGCGAGUAUGAUGAAGGCCANCGGGUUNGNAAGUACGUUUGGCAGAGNCGAAAAGGCAUCCCCUAAUACGGAAUGCUGCUGUCGUUAGCUGCAGAAUAAGCACAGGCUAACUAAGUCCCAGCAGCCGCGGUAGUACGUAGGGUGCAAGCGUUAAUCGGAAUGACUGGGUGUAAGGCGUGUGUAGGCGGUUCGGAAAGAAAGAUGUUAAAUCCCAGGGCUCAACCUUGGAACUGCAUUUUUAACUGCCGAGCUCGAGUAUGUCAGAGGGGGGUAGAAUUCCACGUGUAGCAGUGUAAUGCGUAGAUAUGUGGAGGAAUACCGAUGGCGAAGGCAGCCCCCUGGGAUAAUACUGACGCUCAGACACGAAAGCGUGGGGAGCAAACAGG
rnacentral:rRNA from 1 species